rnacentral:lncRNA from 1 species
UUAAAAUAUAUCAUUGUCAGCACUAGUCAGCAAAUAUAUUUUGUUAUAUUUCUUGUUUUGAUAGGUGCUAAUGUUUUUUUACAUAUAUUUUAUUUUUUUUUCGCAAAAAUUAUUUUAAAGUCGUUAUGAAAAUUUGGAACCUGUGACCCUACUAUUUGCUUGGUGUCAAUCGGAACAAAUUUUAUUUUGUCUUUUAAGUUACUCUUGGAUUCCAAGUUUUUUUUUAUAGUUAGGAUAUCACUAUGAGAUAAGUAAUUUUUAUAGUUUGAUUAAUUUUUUUAUGGUGCAUAAACUGAACAGUGGAAGUUCAUGGCUAAGAGUGGGGCUGUGUAACGUUUUUCGUUUAUUACAUGCAUCACUGCGUUUUAUUAGCAUGAUAUAAUUAGAUUACUUAUUCUCUUUAACCGUUAUAAUUAAUUCCUUACAAUCUAUUUUUAUCGCCUUCAAUCAGAUUGUACUUGUUAAAUGUCAAAUCAAUCAUGUUAAUCAGCUGGUGCCGCGUUGAUAUGUAUAUACAGGUGACCGGUUGACCUCAGCUUCAGUGACCUUAGCUCCGGGCUCCGGGCUCCGGGCUCCGGGCUCCUGUAAUUUAGCUCUUGUAGAAUAUUUCUUUGUUCAGAGUCAUUUAACCAUAUUGUAAUCAGGUUAUUAGAGUAGUAUAAAAGAGAGAAAUAGUUGACGAUAUACGAUAUACGAGGAGAUACGAUUUUGUGUACGAGAGGUGCAUAUGUAGGAGAUUUAGGAUUAUGUCACCGUAUUGUUGAGCCUGCAGUUAAGAUGUUGUAAACUUGUAUUACUGUUACAUGUACUUUGGAUUUUU